rnacentral:lncRNA from 1 species
GACCGGCGGCAGCUUGUACCCCAGAGUUUAUACCAGGUACAGUGAUGGAAAUCCCAGGUUAUUUUAAUCUCAUGUAUAUGUAUCGAGAGCUCGAACGUCGUGCGGACCGGGGUGUAGCUGUAGAGGUGGGCCUAGAUGCAGCGCAAGGGCGAAAGAAGCACCAGCUUGAUUAGACAACAGAUGGCAACCAAUGAACGGGGAAUGCAGAUGCAGGAGCAAGAACAAGGAAAAAUAGAGAAUAAUGAUAAAGGAUAAAGGAGUAGAAGUAAAGGCAAUUGACGGAGACGCACAACUGAAAGCGACUCUUAGGGAUUAAGGUAGCGAUAAGCAAGAGACGAGGGCAGGAGCAGGACGAUGGAAUAAAUAGAUGCCGCGGCCCCAGAGCAGAUGGUACCUCGACAACAAGUACCGGGUACUUGUGGACUUGGUAGGAGCUGGGGGCAAAGAAGCAGCAAAUACUUGAUCCUGCGACCAGAGCGAGAAAGAGGAUUGGAGAGGUGAGGGGAAGCAAAGUCGACAAUUGGCGCACAGAGAGAAGAAAAGCGGAAAAAAGAGGCAGGUGAUGAUACUAAACGGAAGGAACGCCUGCGGGGAGGCAAAAGUCUGGGAAGGUGCGGGACGGAUCAACGACCAACUCCAAAGUGACUCAGUCGACUUGACUUACCUACAACAGAAUUGUUUUUGUCUCACUCUUUCGUCUUCUUCGCCUCCUCUUCUUCGUUCCCUAUCGCUUAACCCUGUCGAUCGAGUCCGCUUCUUGAUUCAUUCGGCUUUGAUUCAUUCAAAAAUGUGUGAAUCGCACACGUACGCAGAUCCUAGUCUCCACACAACUGACUCAAAUCGCCUGUUCGUCAAGUCGUCUGGGAACACACAAUGAUUGGCGGGCCGUCUAGUGGCCUGGCCUAGUCUUUGGGAGGGCUCAGCGCUAUCCUGCCGUAGUCAAGGCCUAGAUCCCCCAAUAAUAAUAGGCAGGACAAAGGCGGUUUUCGUUAUGAUAAUAUGAUUGAUAUGUUGGACUGUGCCCUAAUCUGCUGCAACACUCGACGCGAUGUUCAGAUCCCGGGUCACUUUCGCCUCUUGUUGAGAACACUAUACGGGAAUUAGAUUGACAAACCCAUGUUUAAGGCCUUUUGUUUGGACUCCUCACCUGAGUACCGAUCUAGGCCAGUCCCGUGGACGCUGAAGAAUGUGGAUUCCGGGUGCGGGAGGGAAGUCACCAGGACUUCAGGACUUCUGACCGACCAGUCCGCACCACCCAAUCAAUUUAUUGGAUGGCCGUUCAAGAUCUGAUCAACGGCACGCUCCCAAUACGCUGGGAACCGCUUUCGCACCUCACAGAGUAUUCACGCAGCUUGUUUCGAAAUUGAGCUCAAAUCGUGCAACUCUUGCGGAGAAUGGAGACUACAGUUCGAAAGGAGCGGGGCGGUUUCAGGCCUUCAACAAGGACAGACACAAAAACCACAGAAAUCAGAAAAGGAAGGGAAGGAGAGAUAAUUCCUUUUCUUACCAGUCGAGGAAAUUGAAGUGAUAAUUCUCGAAGGCGACAUGAUAUAUAGAAAAUCAAAUGGUAUCCAAGGAACACGCGAGCGCUGGCUAUACCGCUCACAAAUAUAUACUCUGUAGUAUAUGCACCAUGUUAUAUCAUCAAGCGUAUGAGCUGUCCUUUGCAAUUCAUAUUACGGAGUAGUCCACCCCAUUUCGCUUUGAACAUCAAAGCUACCUGGGUGUUUCUGGUUAGUACAGUCUGCAGGCCGACCCAAGCUUCCUCUUUAUCCCGAGAUGAGAUCGUGGUGGAACUUGGGAGUUUCCACCCCUGGGGGAUACGAAAAGUCUAGGCUUUCCGAACCCAGUCACUACUAUUCCUUCCCGUGCUCCAGGUUUGAACGGAAGUGUGCAUACAGUGUUGUACACAGUAUAGUACACCCACAUACACACACACAUAUCCGCGACGUGGAGAUAUACUCCAUACAUUUGAAUUCAGACCAUCAAUUAGUUCCAUGAUAUUAUCGUGCCAACUGUCGGGCGAGACGGCUCAGCCCUGUCUUAAUGUCUAACCGUGAGACCCAAACACAGUACUGCUUUCCGCUACUCCGAUCGUUGCGAUUAGUGGGGUUAUGAAUCACCAACUGCGAGUUGAUUGAAUUCCAAUCUCAAGAUUCUCGUCACUUUGGGUCUAGCCCGCUAAGUCCAGCACAUCCGCCAACACUAAACGCGGAGGCAUAAUUACUUACAUACUACCUGAAUAGGCAAUCGGACAAUACAAGUCCUUGUGUGUUUUGUCCGGAUGGCGUUAGAAAGCUUCGAGAACGUGACCAUUUCUAGACGUAAGAAUCCCAGAGAAAAAGAAAAGAAACGGCAUUUGAUAUCUACUCUGGAGGUCAUACGAAUGGCUUGUUCCAAGAAUCCAAGGCGAUUUGUUACACCUUUGCCCGGACUGCAGACUGCAGACGCCGCGGAAGCUCCCGCCAACGCUAAGUACCUAAGACUAGUAUCACCCAAACUGCCGGAGUUCCACAACACGCCCGGAUUCAUAUCGGCCGGUCGCCUUGGUCCAGUUUGAAAUCUGGCAGGGAAAUUGGGGGAAUUGUGCCUACUGUGGUAGUAACCUACCUAGGCCUCUACGUACCUAGUACAUAGUACCCAAGUACCAUGCAAGUAGCACUUCUGCUAUGAUACUACCAUAGGUAUCAGCUUCACAUGGCUCUUCUUAUCCAAGAAGAGCAAAGAUUGGACAGGGCACUUCGGUCUUCUGGUCCUUGAAAAAUUUCAUUAUGCACGUACUCAGAGUACUCUGUAUGCGAUGCGGUGAGUAUGGGUUGGUAAGAUGAGAUGCGCCGUCUAUUCAAGAAAAAGCAAAGAAAAUGCAAACUUUGAUAGAUUGCAGUGGAUGACGACAAUGGGAUUAUUCCUUCCAAUUGAUUGAAUCGACUCUUUUGAAUUCACUCUGUGUGAGCGGUGUGGCUCGAGCUAUCGGCCCUAGAAGCUUAGCCGCUCCAUCGAUACGAUUCAAAGAAAAUGAACGCUAGCGUUCGUUAACUUCGUUUCAAAAAAAAAAAAAAAACAUGUCGCUCCUUGUACCCGUUCCUGUAUCAUCGACGGGAAAAUAUCCCGGCAUAUGCGAAAAGACGGGAAUAUACAAGGAUGCUGUUUAUUAAACCCACACCAUACUUCAUUUGGUGGAUAUGCUAUAUACGUACUAUUCCGUACACGGUCACGAAAAGUAAAGAUAUGUAGUAAUUAAAUUGGAUAGAUCCAGAACUUUAUGACUUGGAUG